GACGAACGCUGGCGGCGUGCUUAACACAUGCAAGUCGAGCGGUAAGGCCCUUUCGGGGGUACACGAGCGGCGAACGGGUGAGUAACACGUGGGUGACCUGCCUUUAGCUCUGGGAUAAGCCUGGGAAACCGGGUCUAAUACCGGAUAUGACUCCGCGGCGCAUGUUGUGGGGUGGAAAGCCUUGUGCGGCUGGAGAUGGACCCGCGGCCUAUCAGCUUGUUGGUGGGGUGANGGCCUACCAAGGCGACGACGGGUAGCCGGCCUGAGAGGCGACCGGCCACACUGGGACUGAGACACGGCCCAGACUCCUACGGGAGGCAGCAGUGGGGAAUCUUGCGCAAUGGGCGAAAGCCUGACGCAGCGACGCCGCGUGAGGGAUGACGG
rnacentral:rRNA from 1 species